rnacentral:rRNA from 1 species
AUUGAACGCUGGCGGCAUGCUUUACACAUGCAAGUCYGAACGGUAACAGGCCGCAAGGUGCUGACGAGUGGCGAACGGGUGAGUAAUGCAUCGGAACGUGCCCAGUCGUGGGGGAUAACGCAGCGAAAGCUGCGUUAAUACCGCAUACGAUCUAUGGAUGAAAGCGGGGGACCGUAAGGCCUCGCGCGAUUGGAGCGGCCGAUGUCAGAUUAGGUAGUUGGUGGGGUAAAGGCUCUACCAAGCCAACGAUCUGUAGCUGGUCUGAGAGGACGACCAGCCACACUGGAACUGAGACACGGUCCAGACUCCUACGGGAGGCAGCAGUGGGGAAUUUUGGACAAUGGGCGCAAGCUGGAUCCAGCAAUGCCGCGUGCAGGAAGAAGGCCUUCGGGUUGUAAACUGCUUUUGUACGGAACGAAACGGCGAGCUCUAAUACAGUUUGCUAAUGACGGUACCGUAAGAAUAAGCACCGGCUAACUACGUGC